AUGCAAGUCGAACGGUAACAGGAAACAGCUUGCUGUUUCGCUGACGAGUGGCGGACGGGUGAGUAAUGUCUGGGAAACUGCCUGAUGGAGGGGGAUAACUACUGGAAACGGUAGCUAAUACCGCAUAACGUCGCAAGACCAAAGAGGGGGACCUUCGGGCCUCUUGCCAUCGGAUGUGCCCAGAUGGGAUUAGCUAGUAGGUGGGGUAACGGCUCACCUAGGCGACGAUCCCUAGCUGGUCUGAGAGGAUGACCAGCCACACUGGAACUGAGACACGGUCCAGACUCCUACGGGAGGCAGCAGUGGGGAAUAUUGCACAAUGGGCGCAAGCCUGAUGCAGCCAUGCCGCGUGUAUGAAGAAGGCUUUCGGGUUGUAAAGUACUUUCAGCGGGGAGGAAGGGAGUAAAGUUAAUACCUUUGCUCAUUGACGUUACCCGCAGAAGAAGCACCGGCUAACUCCGUGCCAGCAGCCGCGGUAAUACGGAGGGUGCAAGCGUUAAUCGGAAUUACUGGGCGUAAAGCGCACGCAGGCGGUUCGUUAAGUCAGAUGUGAAAAUCCCCGGGCUCAACCUGGGAACUGCAUCUGAUACUGGCAAGCUUGAGUC
rnacentral:rRNA from 1 species